CUGUGCUAGAUGGGAAGGUAGCGGUGUCCUAUAACCUGCAACCCGCUGUAGCAGGAUUGAAUUCCUCAUUGAGGUAUAUUGUUUGUGGUGCUGGCUUAUGCAAGUGGUGAUGAAGAUUGGGUCUUGCGCAACAAAAGUUUAUAAACUCCGCCAGGUCUGGAAGGAAGCAACGGUAAAUAAGCCCUUUUGUGUGCCGCAAGGUUGCCUAAUUAGAGCAAACUGCCUAAGUACCGGCUAUGAAUAUGUAACAAGGUGAGGUGCACAG
rnacentral:SRP_RNA from 3 species